rnacentral:rRNA from 1 species
AGAGUUUGAUCCUGGCUCAGGAUAAACGCUGGCGGCGUGCCUAACACAUGCAAGUCGAACGUCCUUCUCUUUCGGGAGGAGGGAGUGGCGGACGGGUGAGUAACACGUGGGUUAUCUACCUUCUGGUGAGGAAUACCGGCGAGAAAUCGCCGAUAAGACCGCAUAGGCUUCGCUCACACGAACGAAGCAAAGUUCCGCAAGGGACGCCAGAAGAUGAGCCUGCGGCCGAUUAGCUAGUUGGUGGGGUAAGAGCCUACCAAGGCGACGAUCGGUAGCUGGUCUGAGAGGAUGAUCAGCCACACUGGGAUUGAGAACGGCCCAGACUCCUACGGGGGGCAGCAGUGAGGAAUUUUCGGCAAUGGGCGCAAGCCUGACCGAGCAACGCCGCGUGCAGGAGGAAGGUCUUCGGAUCGUAAACUGCCUUUCUGGGGGACGACGCAGCGACGGUACCUCAGGAAGAAGCCCCGGCUAACUACGUGCCAGCAGCCGCGGUAAUACGUAGGGGGCGAGCGUUAUCCGGAAUUACUGGGCGUAAAGCGCACGCAGGCGGUUUUCUACGUUCAUGGUGACAGUCUCCGGCUUAACCGGGGAAGCGUUUUGAAAACGGGAAAACUUGAGAACGAGAGAGGGAGACGGAACUCCGAGUGGAGCAGUGAAAUGCGUAGAGAUUCGGAAGAACACCAAAGGCGAAGGCAGUCUCCUGGCUCGUUUCUGACGCUCAGGUGCGAAAGCUAGGGGAGCAAACGGGAUUAGAUACCCCGGUAGUCCUAGCUGUAAGCGAUGACCACUAGGUGUGUAGAGUAUCGACCCUCUGCGUACCGGAGCUAACGCAUUAAGUGGUCCGCCUGGGGAGUACGGUCGCAAGACUAAAACUCAAAGGAAUUGACGGGGACCCGCACAAGCAGCGGAGCGUGUGGUUUAAUUCGAUGCAACGCGCAGAACCUUACCAGGGUUUGACAUGGAUGCGACCACCCUUGAAAGAGGGCUCCCUUCGGGGCGCAUUCACAGGUGCUGCAUGGCUGUCGUCAGCUCGUGCCGUGAGGUGUUGGGUUAAGUCCCGCAACGAGCGCAACCCCUAUAGCUAGUUGAAUCUUUCUAGCUAGACUGCCGUGUUCAACGCGGAGGGAGGUGGGGAUGACGUCAAGUCAGCACGGCCCUUACAUCCUGGGCGACACACACGCUACAAUGGGCAGGACAAGGAGUCGCGAACCCGCAAGGGGGAGCCAAUCUCAGCAAACUUGCUCUCAGUUCAGAUUGCAGGCUGCAACCCGCCUGCAUGAAGUCGGAGUUGCUAGUAACCGUAGGUCAGCACACUACGGUGAAUACGUUCCCGGGUCUUGUACACACCGCCCGUCACACCACGAAAGUCGGCGGCACCUGAAGCCGCCGGGCUAACCCCUCUGGGGGAGGUAGGCGUCGAGGGUGGGGUCGGUGAUUGGGGUGAAGUCGUAACAAGGUAACC